rnacentral:rRNA from 1 species
GACGAACGCUGGCGGCGUGCCUAAUACAUGCAAGUAGAACGCUGAAGGAGGAGCUUGCUUCUCUGGAUGAGUUGCGAACGGGUGAGUAACGCGUAGGUAACCUGCCUGGUAGCGGGGGAUAACUAUUGGAAACGAUAGCUAAUACCGCAUAAUAGUAGAUGUUGCAUGACAUUUGCUUAAAAGGUGCAAUUGCAUCACUACCAGAUGGACCUGCGUUGUAUUAGCUAGUUGGUGAGGUAACGGCUCACCAAGGCAACGAUACAUAGCCGACCUGAGAGGGUGAGCGGCCACACUGGGACUGAGACACGGCCCAGACUCCUACGGGAGGCAGCAGUAGGGAAUCUUCGGCAAUGGACGGAAGUCUGACCGAGCAACGCCGCGUGAGUGAAGAAGGGUUUCGGAUCGUAAAGCUCUGUUGUAAGAGAAGAACGAGUGUGAGAGUGGAAAGUUCACACUGUGACGGUAUCUUACCAGAAAGGGACGGCUAACUACGUG